rnacentral:lncRNA from 1 species
AGCUGACGAUGGAAGCUUGAACUCUCUUAUUUUCUCAUGCAUCUGGUCUGCAUUGAAGCUUUGUUGUUGCUUUUCUUUCAGGGCAUGUUGCACUAAAAUAAAAAUAGUAAAUACCAAGUUGGAGAGGCUGGUUAACAAUUGGUGGUGUAGCUAGCUGUUUGAUACUGUAAGGCCUAGUUUGGUAUAGCUUCACUUUAAAAAAAAUCAGCUUCUAUCUGAACUUUUAGAUUUUAUAGUGUUUUAUAAAUGAAAGAAAAGUAGUUUUUUUGAAAAUUACAGGUCAUUGACAUCAGUUUUUAGAAACAAUUUAAAUGUUACUUUUAAAAGCAGCUGUCACUAAAAACACUAGAAAUUAAUAAAUUUUAUUUUGGCAUCACUUUUAAAACUAAUAUUUAAUAAACACAAAACUGUUUUAACUCACAGCUGAUUAUUUUCGCAGUACAGCAACAUUAGUUUUUUUUAAAAUCACAACAAUACCAAACUAGCCCUAAUUAAGUUGUGGUCUCUGCAAGUAUUGUCAAGACCCACCCCGAAUUUCACCCUGAAACUCGAGGUAAGUCCUGCGGGGUCCACCUCUAAGGAAAAUUCACCGAAAAUUCGGCAUAAUCUACCUUGAAAAUAGACAACCCUUACCUGAAAAAUUCCAGAUACACUUCUAUAAUAAACUAUCCAACCUCAACUCUUGGAGCCUUCCUGCUCCCCAAGUUCAUAACAUCUCCCAUAAUACAACUAGCUUUAAUCAAAUUCUAACUAUCUCAAAUGGUUAUCAGAGCAUAUCUAUAAUGAAAUAAAAACAAUGAAUAAAGAAUAAGCGGAAGCAGCCUCUGACUAUGCCUCGACUCCAUGUACGCUCGACCUCAUUUAAACUUAGCCUGCAAACUGGGCAUUUAAAACCAAAGGGCCUAGGGAAAAGUAAUUUGAAACGUUAGAGUGAGUGGACGAAAAAUAAAUUAAAUAACUUAACUAAAAACAUAUAUAAUUUAUAUACUUUCCCAUGUUUCAACUUUAAAACUUGGUUGCACGCAACUUUGAACGUCCUUAAAACUUUAAAUCCAAAUUCACUUAAUACUGGAUAAACCAGCUCAGCUGGUUAAAUAAAAUAGAAAUCUCAAAAUGAGGGAUAAACUAGCCCCGCUGGUUAAUCAAUUAUAUAACUGAGAAAAAUAAAUAAGGGGAAGAGUUAUCACCAUGUAAAAGGAGCCUCCCAAGCUCGGGUCGAUGCCUCCCAGGCUAUAAUAGCGUCCCACGCUAACCACGCUAAGCGCUCAACUCACAUAUGAUGAGGACCGCUAAAUAAGGCUAUAACAGCGUCCCACGCUAAGCGCUCAACUCACAUAUGAUGAGGACCGCUAAUAAGGCUAGCUAACUAAUAAAUAUAAAUACCGAUCGGUUGCCUCCCAGGCUAUAAUAGUGUCCCACGCUAAACGCUCUACUCACCUAUGGUGAGAACCGCUAAUAAUGGUUAGUUAGCAAUAAUCAAUAUAAGCGACCCUAUAUUAUGGUGAUUAAAACAUACGAAGUCACUUAAAUCCAUUAAACUUCCCCAAUAUCAAACGAAUGGUACGGUUCCCAACCGUACUUGAAAAUCAUCAUAAGAAAUUAUAUUAAAACUCAAUGAUGUGUCUCACACGUCAAAACAUUCUCAAAUUUAUAAAUAUAAGCGAGAUUUCAAUAUCAAAUAUAAAUCAUAAAUAAUAAUAUCUCCACUCGAAAAUACUCGCUAAAAUAUUCUCCAAGUCAAAAUCAUUAUGCCUCAAAUAAACAAUUAAAUUAUGAUGGAGAACUACCGAAAAUCCCAUUUUCGGUAAUCAUUUAUAAAUCUCGAAGUCAUCAAAAUAAAACCGAUAAUAUUUUAAAUCCGGAGUCAUAAAAAAUAUCAAAACUCAAAUAUCA